rnacentral:lncRNA from 1 species
UCGUAAAGACUUAUUUUAGUGAUGCCUUGAUUUACAAUUUCUCGGAGGUUUCGCGAAAACAAUCGAUGUUUUAAUUCUUUUGGAAAGACUUAAAACUUUAACCAAUCAUAUCGCGAUGAAUUGGAAUCACGUGACCAGAGCAAAAUUUCCACCGCCGCCAUAAUUUCUCUCUCAUAAUGGCUGCGAUCCCGGGAUGCGAUGGAAGAAUAUUUGACCAAAAGCGUUCCGGAGGACAUUAUUCCCGACAUUAUUGCAAAAUUAAAAGGAAGUGCUCUAUUGUGAUGGAGAAGGGUUCAUCCAAACUUGUCUUAAAAACUCCAGAAUGUCACAGCAACAGAAGAAAAUGAGGAAACCGAAUAAGACCAGCGAUGAAAAAGAAGAUGAAGCAGGUAUAGAUGAUGCACUAUUGGAAGAGACUGGUGCAAAGGAAAUGGUUGAAUGGAUGAAGCAUGCCAGCCCAACCAAAGAAAACUUACCAGCAAUAAGAGAAUACUUUCAGCGAACUUAUGAGUAUCGGCAGGCACAGGUCAAAGGGGAACUCUCUGUUAUCGAGCUCAUAGACCUGUAUCCAUGAUACAAGGAUUUAUCCAACUUGAUCAAUGUUGAAUUUGCACUUAUGUAUCCUGAGGAGUCUGGGAAUUUUCUGAAAAAAUGGGGGACUACCUUCAGGGAGAACAUCAUCACCACUGCCAAGGAGGAUUAUGCUACAAUACAACAGGUCAUGAAAGAUGAAGUUUCUGACAGAAGGAACUGAUUUGAGGAUGACGACUGGAAACUGAGAAAAUGUUCAGCCAACCUUUCCUUUUGAAGAAGAGCAAGCGACACUACUUGGUGUUGGACCAAAAAAGUCCUUGUGGCAGGUGAUAUACCUUUGUUGAUAGAUUUGACAGGCUCUUCAAAGCCCAUUACUGUUUCGAUGUCCACUUUGCCCAAGUUUUGGCACCAUUAUGAAUAUUUAGCAGCCUACGUAUAUGGGGUGUUGCACCCAUCCAAGGUGAGACCUCCAGUGCGCUCACUUGCAUCAGUUAUUAUGUCUGAUCAGUAAUCCGUACAAACUGAACCCUCUUCGUGUUAGACCAAAAUGUUAUACUUUGAUCAUCACUAAAUAGGCAGGCCAAUUCACAUCGUGAAUUGAUAUAGAAAAGUACUGAACACAGCACAACUGCAGCAGACACAGCUUCUGUCUUACGUUUGACACGCGCAUCGGUAUCUAUGAUGUGCGUGUUAGUAGGAUUACCUUGCGCGCAGAUGAAGAAAAGCCUUACAUUUCCUGCCUGUUUAGUGAUAAUCAAAGUAGAGUGGCAGGUGAUGGCUGUGUCAAAUUAUUUGACAGGCUAUUAGAAGCCCAUUUUGUUGUUUUAAAGGGAUGG